AGUCUGCCGGGCGGUGGCCUGCUCCCUCUCGAAGACUCCUGCCGCUCGCCGCCCGCCGCUUAUCCUGUCUGCUGCCGCUCGCCGCCUGCCGCCCGCCACUUAUCCCAUCUCCUGCCGCUCUACCGCCGCCCCAGCGCCUCUAUAAGAUGGCCCCCGGCCUCGCUUAUCCACAAGCGGCCGCGGAGGAGCUCGGCGCCACCAGGGGGCGUACCGGCGAGGGGCUGCGUCCACCUUGCCGUCGAGUGCCUCCUCCCCUCCGGCCGCCCCGAUUCCCUCUUCAUCCUCCAGCUCCAGCCCAACCCCGACACCCCGGACGUCAAGCGGGCCUUCUGUCGCCUAGCCAACCUCCUGGCCCCUCGGCGCGAUCCCCAUCCCCGGCUGACACCGCCCUUCGCGCCGUUGAAGAGGGCCUUCGCCCACCUCUUGGAGAGCACCUCCACCAGCGCCGGUUUCGCUCCUGCUGCUCCCGGCGGCGUUUCCGUCUCAGAGAUGUGCUCUGGACGGUCUGCCCCCACUGCUGCCAUGUGCAUGAGUACGCGCGCAUGCUGGUGGGGCGUUUGCUUGGGUGCUCGAACCCCUGGUUCAUGUGCGUGUUCGUGGCUACCUAGCCCGCGCGGCUGCCCUCUCCCUGCUCGCCGGUCGCCGCCGCUCGGGUUGUUCGCGCAGGCUAAGCCACGGAUUGUGUACGAAAUAUUCACAACAAAGCAACGAUCAAACAGAGAUCCAGUUACAGCAAAGAUGCGAAAAUUGAGUAGUCAAUAUAGCAGGUGCAGUGUGAACUCCUGUUUUCCCGUAGUAACUUCAGAAAAAAGUCUCUCUACCUGGGUUAAGAAAUUCAGAACUUUACAGUGAGCAGAAUGUGGACCUUAUAAGGUCUAUACAUGCAAGAUUCAGGAAUUGGAAACGGAAGUAACACGGCAGAAGUUCUCCACUGGGCUCAAGGGGAUGAAUUGGUUAACUACAGAGAGCUUCAACAUGGUGGCAACCUGGAAAUGAGAGGAAGUGGAAGGAUAGAAGGUACGCUUCUGCAGAAUCCAAGUUCUCAGGAGUAUCUCACAAAUGAGUCAUCAUAGGUGAGAGAUGUCUCAUCCAGCCGGACGAUAUUAUUGACCAUUUAAUAGCAGCUGACCAACAGUUUUGGUAAUUAGAGAAGAAGACAAUUCCACAGAAGCAAAGCCAAUUCAUUGCUGAGUAGCUCCGGAGAGUGUCAACGUAUGUGCCCAAACUCAAUAGAACAAGCACUAACGAUAGCAGAACUUGAAAAAUCCAGGAGAUGGCUGCUCUCACCAUAUAGUUCAAAGGAUUCCUAGAUCAAAUUUUCUGGGCUGGGACAAGAAAAGGAACAUGCUCCAGUCUCCAGAAUGUAAUAGAUUCAAUAAGGACUGAUUGCAUGGUUUGGGAGAAACUUGGUGCGUUCAGUUCAAUAUAAGGAAAAGCAUGAGAAGGUUGCCUCCUCGUAUCGAUGAGGCGCGGCGGCGCCGCCGCGCGGGUACAUGCUAGUAUUUGAAAGAUAGCAGACCGCCUGCAGGGAUGGCAAGGGAGCCACCAGCCUUGUACAGGGCCGGUGCAUUUACCAUUUUACCGUGUAGUAUAUUACAGUAACAUUCAGAGCAUCUCCAGCCGCGCCCCUAACAAGCCCUUU